GAGCCCGCCGCCACCACGUGCGAGGGCCGGAAAGAAACCACUUGCCUAGGAAAACGCCGGCCCUCAAAGUCGACAGCCCAGUUCCCGGAGAGCCGGCGCCAGCUGGCUUCCGGGGGCGGAAGCCCGACGCCAUCUCGCACCAGACGCGCGGCCUCCUCUCCUCAGGCUUCAAGAGGCCACCUGCAUUCCUUCACUCAUGACCCCUUCCUCCAUCUUGAAAGCCAGCACUAUAGCAUCUACAGAUCUCUCUCAGAUCUCUGCUUCUACCGUCCCAUCUUUCUGACUCCGACCCUCCUGCUUUCCCAGAGAAGGCUCCCUCUGGCUUCUGUGCAGCAAAGGGACAAGAGUAGGAGCUGGGAGUCUGUAGGAUACAUAUAGAGUGAAAUUUGUAAGAAAAUUUUUUGUUCAGAAAUAGCAUCCAACAGAUUUGAAGUUCCAAAUGGAGUCAGCACCAAGUCCAAAAACAAAACAAAACCAAACAAAACCUCGCAAAGCAUUUUCCAGUAGGAUUUCCUGAAGGAACACUUCAAAAGGUCUAGAUAUAUCCAAGACGGCUGAAGUCACACGCCUGCUUUCAGCCUCAGGAAAUGUACUUGUCUCACAUUCUCAGUAGCUUCUCAAGUUAUUUUAACUGUUCAGCCCUGACAGUUAAAUAAAAACUUGAUGAUAGAAGAGGUUUCA